AUGGGACCCUCCAGAAGAAACCUGCCCAGCAAUCCUUCCCGCCAGAAGGAUGCCAGGAGAAACUGCCUCUACCUGCAAGAAAGGCGCACGAUGGCACUUGGAGAUAGAAGUCCACCGACGGCACCGGAUCACUGGAGGCAAACAUCGAAUUAAUUGGAUCUCAAUGACUGAGAAACGAUGUAGGCAUUGAGAACAGAUAUCGGCGAAUUUCGUGCUCCCAAGCAUGGCAGAAACGUCUUUGUAUACCUUCCUCUGAAACCGGCGAUAGAAAGCCAAGAAAGAAAGAAGAAAAGAGAGGGAGAGAGGGGAAGAAGGGGAAAAAAGACAAUUCAGCCCCGCUGGAUUAGGUAGCAGAUCUAUAACUAAUGAACCAU
rnacentral:lncRNA from 1 species